GAUGAACGCUGGCAGCGUGCCUAAUACAUGCAAGUCGAGCGAACGGACGAGAAGCUUGCUUCUCUGAUGUUAGCGGCGGACGGGUGAGUAACACGUGGAUAACCUACCUAUAAGACUGGGAUAACUUCGGGAAACCGGAGCUAAUACCGGAUAAUAUUUUGAACCGCAUGGUUCAAAAGUGAAAGACGGUCUUGCUGUCACUUAUAGAUGGAUCCGCGCUGCAUUAGCUAGUUGGUAAGGUAACGGCUUACCAAGGCAACGAUGCAUAGCCGACCUGAGGGGGUGAUCGGCCACACUGGAACUGAGACACGGUCCAGACUCCUACGGGAGGCAGCAGUAGGGAAUCUUCCGCAAUGGGCGAAAGCCUGACGGAGCAACGCCGCGUGAGUGAUGAAGGUCUUCGGAUCGUAAAACUCUGUUAUUAGGGAAGAACAUAUGUGUAAGUAACUGUGCACAUCUUGACGGUACCUAAUCAGAAAGCCACGGCUAACUACGUG
rnacentral:rRNA from 1 species